rnacentral:lncRNA from 1 species
AGAUAGUAAAUUCUACAAUGCAGUUUUAACCAGUGGUGAAAAACAAUUUUUUUCCAUCGCCAUCAAAACUUGGAAGCCCUGCCAUUACUUUCAGUAUUACGGCAAUCUUCAUGGCCAUCCUCUCCACCACAACCUGAGAAGAUAACAGACAGAAUCCUUGGGGAGAAAAAGUAUAUUCAAACUGACAAUGAGAGUAUCGAACUGCCAACCUAACAUAUGCGAGCAGCGUCCUGAAACGACAGCGUGUGACUUAAGACAGGCCUGUACAAAAGCUGAAAGAGAUCCUGGAAGGAGGAAAGUCCAACUUGUACAACUUAGACUGAGUUGCACAGAAGAGGACAUAAAUCCAGGACUGAUCGUCACCUCUGUAAUGAACCAGUUCUCCUCAGAGCCUUGCUACCAAUCUUCAAUCCAUCACGAGGUGCCUCAGAGGUUCAGUAGCUCUAUUUUGUUUUUGGACAAGUCACUUUGUAUUUCCCUUGAGGAACUGGAAAGAAGAAGAUCAGGCCGACCAGCUGUGUAUAGAUCGGCCAUGUUUAUUCCCCUUGGUGUGUCGUCUGCUCACAGAUCGCAAGCACAAAACAAACCAGCCAAAACAAAUGAGGGUUACAGGAAAGCUAGAGAGGCAAUGUCAGUCAGCUUCAAAUGCAGUGACAGAGCGAGUGGCUCGAGUAACUGCAGAGGGCCUCUAUCUAAACACUGGGGACGCAAGGUCAGGCAAACAGCGCCCACGCAUGAUGGUAACAGCAAGGCUGAUGAUUCAGACAUGCAGCGCCGCAGCUCUGCUUUGGGAUUAUUGUCAUUCAGAGAACCAGACCACUGUAAUACAAAGCCUGCAAGGCUGAAGGAGAAUGCAGAUAAAGCAGCCCUCUCUGUUCAAAGCAAUUUUAGGCAAAAGCAGCACACGUUCAGCACCGGCCCAGUGGACCCCAAAACUUGCAGUGUGCAAAGUGGAGCUGAUAAAACAGAAAAUUUCAGCUCAAGACCUCAUCGUGUCCUUGUCUUGGAGGAAACUCACCAACAUCACUGCAGAAAGAAGUCUGCGCCUCCGAAAAGCACCAGCACGACCCUCAGCCUUAA